UACCAUCGGGAAGUUAGGUAAAUUUUGCAGUCUCACAGACAGUGGCGUUGGAGAGUCCCAGGCCGUUCUGAUUCCACAUCCGAAGCUCAUGCUUCUGCUGUUCCUCAUCUAGCCAUCUCCACAUCACUAUGAACACUUUGGAUGCUCUCUGAACCUUCUGAAGCACGGAUGUCUCUUCUGUGACAAAUGUCAGACAAUGCCCUUCAGCCUGAGAAGUUCACUGAGAAAGUCAGUAACAAUUCCUGUCAUUGCUUUGUAUCCCUGAUCAUUAUGCUCAGAAAAGAGCUGACGUGACCAGUGCACUGAAGAUGUUGUUCCUGGUUCUUUUAAAGGGCACCUCUGUCAAUUUUGCUGCUGUGGACAUCUACCCUUCCUUAAGAGUCCUAAGUUAAAAUUGAAGAAUUUAUGAAAAGUUGUUAUUGAGGUGAUAUUAAGAUAUAGUAGCCUUUAAUGUAUUAUCACAUUCUUAACAAAUGUUACUGGGAUGGCAAAAUAAGGCAAGAAACAAUUAAAAAAUGGGAACAGAAGGGAUUUCAUAGGAUUUGUCCUUGGUUUGUCAUUGUCUCUCUCCCUCUUUCUUUUUC